rnacentral:rRNA from 1 species
AUUGAACGCUGGCGGCAGGCCUAACACAUGCAAGUCGAACGGUAGCACAGAGAGCUUGCUCUCGGGUGACGAGUGGCGGACGGGUGAGUAAUGCCUGGGAAACUGCCCGAUGGAGGGGGAUAACUACUGGAAACGGUAGCUAAUACCGCAUAACGUCUUCGGACCAAAGUGGGGGACCUUCGGGCCUCACACCAUCGGAUGUGCCCAGGUGGGAUUAGCUAGUAGGUGGGGUAAUGGCUCACCUAGGCGACGAUCCCUAGCUGGUCUGAGAGGAUAACCAGCCACACUGGAACUGAGACACGGUCCAGACUCCUACGGGAGACAGCAGUGGGGAAUAUUGCACAAUGGGCGCAAGCCUGAUGCAGCCAUGCCGCGUGUAUGAAGAAGGCCUUCGGGUUGUAAAGUACUUUCAGCGGGGAGGAAGGGGUUAAGGUUAAUAACCUUAGCCAUUGACGUUACCCGCAGAAGAAGCACCGGCUAACUCCGUGCCAGCCGCCGCAGUAA